GUCGAUUUGAUGAGCUCUCCAACAAGCCCGAUGUUCCUGCUGAUGAUUAGUCUACAAAGUAUCUAAUGGGCAAUUCUCCAUGGAGAGAAUGGUCAUUGCUCAUUGAGAGGAUGGUGAAUGGCUUUUGAUUAGAUUUUAGGGAACAGGGAUGCCUCCAAAAUGAUCCCAUUGGCUAGGACUUUGAAGAGGACAAACUCUUGUAAGAACAGGACCUCCACUGUGCCAGCAUCUAAAGGUUUAGAGGCAGCAGGACGUUGUGGAUACAGUACUGUAUUUCCAUCGGGGAAACCUGGGUUUGAAUCCUGCCUCAGAUUCUUGGGAUUCUGGGCUAUAAAUUGAAGAGAAAGCAUCCAUCUUCAUUGACAGAGAAAGUGCUUCACCUGAAGCUUCCUUUACAUAUGAAAUCAUGAGUCUGGUCAAAAAGAAAUUGAUGGAACCAUAAACAAGAGGAUCCUCUCUGCAACUAUUGAGGGUGGGGUAUUUAUGGAAAAAAACAUCAGCCAUGUUGCCCAAGCUCUAGCUGUGUAUUUGUACUUCUCUGGUCAUGGCUAGAAUGCCGUGUGUUCUUAGUAGAAAUGGUGGUGUUUGGACUUUAUUGCUGAAUGACUUUAGAAUUCUUAACAGAAAUUUCAGGAAGCCAGAGGCUUCUAGGCAAUAUGUGGACCAUAGGGAAAGGAUCCACCAAUUUUGCUUCCACUGAUUUUUAUGGCAUAUUCAUUUGCCUGGAUUGAUCUGUAUAUAGAUUACCCUUGAAUAGAAGCUAUUUCACUUAAUUGAGAUCCAAAACUAACUAUGUUUCACUGACUUCUAAAAAUGUGGUCUGCAGUAAUAUAAUCAGCCACUUAUAAGACCAGACAAAAUAUUUGAAUACUACAUACCACCUUUUACCCUUUUCCUAGAAUUAAUAAAGAAAUCAAUGCACUUAAAAAAUAAGAUCA
rnacentral:lncRNA from 1 species